rnacentral:tRNA from 1 species
GGUGAGAUGGCGGAGCGGUUGAACGCACCGGUCUUGAAAACCGGCGUAGGCUUCGGUCUACCGUGGGUUCGAAUCCCACUCUCACCG